rnacentral:rRNA from 1 species
CCUACGGGUGGCAGCAGUAGGGAAUCUUCCACAAUGGACGCAAGUCUGAUGGAGCAACGCCGCGUGAGUGAAGAAGGGCUUCGGCUCGUAAAGCUCUGUUGGUAGUGAAGAAAGAUGGAGGUAGUAACUCUCAUUUAUUUGACGGUAAUUACUUAGAAAGUCACGGCUAACUACGUGCCAGCAGCCGCGGUAAUACGUAGGUGGCAAGCGUUGUCCGGAUUUAUUGGGCGUAAAGCGAGUGCAGGCGGUUCAAUAAGUCUGAUGUGAAAUCCUUCGGCUCAACCGGGGAAUUGCAUCAGAAACUGGUGAACUUGAGUGCAGAAGAGGAGGGUGGAACUCCAGGUGUAGCGGUGGAAUGCGUAGAUAUAUGGAAGAACACCAGUGGCGAAGGCGGCCCUCUGGACUGCGACUGACGCUGAGGCUCGAAAGCAUGGGUAGCGAACAGGAUUAGAUACCCCAGUAGUC